AACGAACGCUGGCGGCAGGCCUAACACAUGCAAGUCGAGCGAGCAUUUCGGUGCUAGCGGCGGACGGGUGAGUAACGCGUGGGAACGUGCCCUUUUCUGCGGAAUAGUCCUGGGAAACUGGGGGUAAUACCGCAUACGCCCUUUUGGGGAAAGAUUUAUCGGAGAAGGAUCGGCCCGCGUUGGAUUAGGUAGUUGGUGGGGUAAUGGCCCACCAAGCCGACGAUCCAUAGCUGGUUUGAGAGGAUGAUCAGCCACACUGGGACUGAGACACGGCCCAGACUCCUACGGGAGGCAGCGGUGGGGAAUCUUAGACAAUGGGGGCAACCCUGAUCUAGCCAUGCCGCGUGAGUGAUGAAGGCCUUAGGGUUGUAAAGCUCUUUCAGCUGGGAAGAUAAUGACGGUACCAGCAGAAGAAGCCCCGGCUAACUCCGUG
rnacentral:rRNA from 1 species